rnacentral:rRNA from 1 species
AUGAACGCUGGCGGCGUGCUUAACACAUGCAAGUCGAACGGAAAGGCCCAAGCUUGCUUGGGUACUCGAGUAGCGAACGGGUGAGUAACACGUGGGUGAUCUGCCCUGCACUUCGGGAUAAGCCUGGGAAACUGGGUCUAAUACCGGAUAGGACCACAUUUUGGAUGGUGUGGUGGAAAGUUUUUCGGUGUGGGAUGAGCUCGCGGCCUAUCAGCUUGUUGGUGGGGUAAUGGCCUACCAAGGCGUCGACGGGUAGCCGGCCUGAGAGGGUGUACGGCCACAUUGGGACUGAGAUACGGCCCAGACUCCUACGGGAGGCAGCAGUGGGGAAUAUUGCACAAUGGGCGCAAGCCUGAUGCAGCGACGCCGCGUGGGGGAUGACGGCCUUCGGGUUGUAAACUCCUUUCGCUAGGGACGAAGCGUUUUUGUGACGGUACCUGGAGAAGAAGCACCGGCUAACUACGUG